UACGUAGGGGGCAAGCGUUAUCCGGAAUUAUUGGGCGUAAAGAGUACGUAGGUGGCAACCUAAGCGCAGGGUUUAAGGCAACGGCUCAACCAUUGUUCGCCCUGCGAACUGGGAUGCUUGAGUGCAGGAGAGGAAAGCGGAAUUCCUAGUGUAGCGGUGAAAUGCGUAGAUAUUAGGAGGAACACCAGUGGCGAAGGCGGCUUUCUGGACUGUAACUGACACUGAGGUACGAAAGCGUGGGGAGCAAACAGG
rnacentral:rRNA from 1 species